rnacentral:tRNA from 1 species
UGAGGUGUAGAUCAAUGGUAGGGUGCUUACCUGGCAUGUGUAAGACCAUGGGUUCAAACCCUAGCACUUCAA